GUAGGUGGCAAGCGUUGUCCGGGAAUUAUUGGGACGUAAAGCGCGCGCAGGCGGUUCGUUUAAGUCUGAUGUGAAAGCCCACGGCUCAACCGUGGAGGGUCAUUGGAAACUGGAGAACUUGAGUACAGAAGAGGAAAGCGGAAUUCCACGUGUAGCGGUGAAAUGCGUAGAGAUGUGGAGGAACACCAGUGGCGAAGGCGGCUUUCUGGUCUGUAACUGACGCUGAGGCGCGAAAGCGUGGGGAGCAAACAGGAUUAGAUACCCUGGUAGUCCACGCCGUAAACGAUGAGUGCUAAGUGUUAGGGGGUUUCCGCCCCUUAGUGCUGCAGCUAACGCAUUAAGCACUCCGCCUGGGGAGUACGGCCGCAAAGGCUG
rnacentral:rRNA from 1 species